UGCCUGAGAAUAAGCGAGCCUCUUUC
rnacentral:piRNA from 1 species